AUGAACGCUGGCGGUAUGCUUAACACAUGCAAGUCGAACGGUGUUUUCGGACACAGUGGCGGACGGGUGAGUAACGCGUGAGAAUCUGGCUCUAGGUCGGGGACAACCACUGGAAACGGUGGCUAAUACCGGAUGUGCCGAGAGGUGAAAGAUUUAUUGCCUAGAGAUGAGCUCGCGUCUGAUUAGCUAGUAGGUGGGGUAAGAGCCUACCUAGGCGACGAUCAGUAGCUGGUCUGAGAGGAUGAUCAGCCACACUGGGACUGAGACACGGCCCAGACUCCUACGGGAGGCAGCAGUGGGGAAUUUUCCGCAAUGGGCGAAAGCCUGACGGAGCAAUACCGCGUGAGGGAGGAAGGCUCUUGGGUUGUAAACCUCUUUUCUCAGGGAAGAACACAUGACGGUACCUGAGGAAUCAGCAUCGGCUAACUCCGUGCCAGCAGCCGCGGUAAUGCGGAGGAUGCAAGCGUUAUCCGGAAUGAUUGGGCGUAAAGCGUCCGCAGGUGGCUAUGUAAGUCUGCUGUUAAAGAGUGAGGCUCAACCUCAUAAGAGCAGUGGAAACUACAUAGCUAGAGUGCGUUCGGGGCAGAGGAAUUCUGGUGUAGCGGUGAAAUGCGUAGAUAUCAGGAAGAACACCGGUGGCGAAAGCGCUCUGCUAGGCCGCAACUGACACUGAGGGACGAAAGCUAGGGGAGCGAAUGGGAUUAGAUACCCCAGUAGUCCUAGCCGUAAACGAUGGAUACUAGGCGUGGCUUGUAUCGACCCGAGCCGUGCCGUAGCUAACGCGUUAAGUAUCCCGCCUGGGGAGUACGCACGCAAGUGUGAAACUCAAAGGAAUUGACGGGGGCCCGCACAAGCGGUGGAGUAUGUGGUUUAAUUCGAUGCAACGCGAAGAACCUUACCAAGACUUGACAUGUCGCGAAUCCUGCUGAAAGGCGGGAGUGCCUUCGGGAGCGCGAACACAGGUGGUGCAUGGCUGUCGUCAGCUCGUGUCGUGAGAUGUUGGGUUAAGUCCCGCAACGAGCGCAACCCUCGUUUUUAGUUGCCAGCAUUAAGUUGGGCACUCUAGAGAGACUGCCGGUGACAAACCGGAGGAAGGUGGGGAUGACGUCAAGUCAGCAUGCCCCUUACGUCUUGGGCUACACACGUACUACAAUGCUACGGACAGAGGGCAGCUAAACAGCGAUGUUAAGCAAAUCCCGUAAACCGUAGCUCAGUUCAGAAUCGCAGGCUGCAACUCGCCUGCGUGAAGGAGGAAUCGCUAGUAAUUGCAGGUCAGCAUACUGCAGUGAAUUCGUUCCCGGGCCUUGUACACACCGCCCGUCACACCCAUGGAAGCUGGCAACGCCCGAAGUCAUUACUCCAACGAUUCGUCGGGGAGGAUGCCUAAGGCAGUGCUGGUGACUGGGGUG
rnacentral:rRNA from 1 species